AUAUUGCACAAUGGCGGAAGCCUGAUGCAGGGACGCCGCGUGAGGGAUGACGGCCUUCGGGUUGUAACCUCUUUCAGCACGGAAGAAGCGAAAGUGACGGUACGUGCAGAAGAAGCGCCGGCUAACUACGUGCCAGCAGCCGCGGUAAUACGUAGGGCGCAAGCGUUGUCCGGAAUUAUUGGGCGUAAAGAGCUCGUAGGCGGUUUGUCGCGUCUGCUGUGAAAGCCCGGGGCUUAACCCCGGGUGUGCAGUGGGUACGGGCAGACUUGAGUGCAGUAGGGGAGACUGGAAUUCCUGGUGUAGCGGUGAAAUGCGCAGAUAUCAGGAGGAACACCGAUGGCGAAGGCAGGUCUCUGGGCUGUUACUGACGCUGAGGAGCGAAAGCAUGGGGAGCGAACAGGAUUAGAUACCCUGGUAGUCCAUGCCGUAAACGUUGGGCACUAGGUGUGGGGAACAUUCCACGUUUUCCGCGCCGUAGCUAACGCAUUAAGUGCCCCGCCUGGGGAGUACGGCCGCAAGGCUAAAACUCAAAGGAAUUGACGGGGGCCCGCACAAGCGGCGGAGCAUGCGGAUUAAUUCGAUGCAACGCGAAGAACCUUACCAAGGCUUGACAUACACCGGACCGGGCCAGAGAUGGUCUUUCCCCCUUGUGGGGCUGGUGUACAGGUGGUGCAUGGUUGUCGUCAGCUCGUGUCGUGAGAUGUUGGGUUAAGUCCCGCAACGAGCGCAACCCUCGUUCUAUGUUGCCAGCACGUGAUGGUGGGGACUCAUAGGAGACUGCCGGGGUCAACUCGGAGGAAGGUGGGGAUGACGUCAAAUCAUCAUGCCCCUUAUGUCUUGGGCUUCACGCAUGCUACAAUGGCCAGUACAAUGGGUUGCGAUGCCGCGAGGUGGAGCUAAUCCCAAAAAGCUGGUCUCAGUUCGGAUCGUGGUCUGCAACUCGACCACGUGAAGUCGGAGUCGCUAGUAAUCGCAGAUCAGCAACGCUGCGGUGAAUACGUUCCCGGGCCUUGUACACACCGCCCGUCAAGUCACGAAAGUUGGUAACACCCGAAGCCGGUGGCCUAACCCUUGUGGGGA
rnacentral:rRNA from 1 species